rnacentral:rRNA from 1 species
CAGCAGCCGCGGUAAUACGAAGGGUGCAAGCGUUAAUCGGAAUUACUGGGCGUAAAGCGUGCGUAGGCGGUUUGUUAAGUCUGUUGUGAAAUCCCCGGGCUCAACCUGGGAAUGGCAAUGGAUACUGGCAAGCUAGAGUGUGUCAGAGGAUGGUGGAAUUCCCGGUGUAGCGGUGAAAUGCGUAGAGAUCGGGAGGAACAUCAGUGGCGAAGGCGGCCAUCUGGGACAACACUGACGCUGAGGCACGAAAGCGUGGGGAGCAAACAGGAUUAGAUACCCCUGUAGUCCCUGUCUCUAUACA